rnacentral:rRNA from 1 species
UAGCAUAUCAAUAAGCGGAAGGAAAAGAAACCAACAGGGAUUGCCCCAGUAACGGCGAGUGAAGCGGCAACAGCUCAAAUUUGAAAUCUGGCUUCGGCCCGAGUUGUAAUUUGUAGAGGAUGCUUUGGGCGCGGCUCUGACUGAGUUCCCUGGAACGGGACGCCACAGAGGGUGAGAGCCCCGUAUAGUUAGAUGCCUAGCCUAUGUAAAGCUCCUUCGACGAGUCGAGUAGUUUGGGAAUGCUGCUCUAAAUGGGAGGUAAAUUUCUUCUAAAGCUAAAUAUUGGCCAGAGACCGAUAGCGCACAAGUAGAGUGAUCGAAAGAUGAAAAGCACUUUGAAAAGAGGGUUAAAUAGCACGUGAAAUUGUUGAAAGGGAAGCGCUUGUGACCAGACUUGCGCCGGGCAGAUCAUCCGGUGUUCUCACCGGUGCACUCUGCCCGGCUCAGGCCAGCAUCGGUUCUCGUGGGGGGAUAAAGGUCCCGGGAACGUAGCUCCUCCGGGAGUGUUAUAGCCCGGGGCGUAAUGCCCUCGUGGGGACCGAGGUUCGCGCAUCUGCAAGGAUGCUGGCGUAAUGGUCAUCAGCGACCCGUCUUGAAACACGGACCAAGGAGUCAAGGUUUUGCGCGAGUGUUUGGGUGUAAAACCCGCACGCGUAAUGAAAGUGAACGUAGGUGAGAGCUUCGGCGCAUCAUCGACCGAUCCUGAUGUAUUCGGAUGGAUUUGAGUAAGAGCGUUAAGCCUUGGACCCGAAAGAUGGUGAACUAUGCUUGGAUAGGGUGAAGCCAGAGGAAACUCUGGUGGAGGCUCGCAGCGGUUCUGACGUGCAAAUCGAUCGUCAAAUCUGAGCAUGGGGGCGAAAGACUAAUCGAACCAUCUAGUAGCUGGUUACCGCCGAU